rnacentral:rRNA from 1 species
UACUGGAGACAGGUGCUGCAUGGCGUGUCGUCAGCUCGUGUCGUGAGAUGUUGGGUUAAGUCCCGCAACGAGCGCAACCCUUGCCUUUAGUUGCCAGCAGUUCGGCUGGGCACUCUAAAGGGACUGCCGGGUGUUAAACCGGAGGAAGGUGGGGGAUGACGUCAAGUCCUCAUGGCCUUUAUGACCAGGGCUACACACGUACUACAAUGGCCGAUACAAAGGGCAGCGACACUGCGAGGUGAAGCCAAUCCCGUAAAAUCGGUCUCAGUCCGGAUUGGAGUCUGCAACUCGACUCCAUGAAGUUGGAAUCGCUAGUAAUCGUGGAUCAGCAUGCCACGGUGAAUACGUUCCCGGGCCUU